rnacentral:rRNA from 1 species
AGAGUUGAUUAUGGCUCAGGAUGAACGCUAGCGGCAGGCCUAAUACAUGCAAGUCGAACGGGAAGGGUCCUUCGGGACCCUGAGAGUGGCGCACGGGUGCGUAACGCGUAUGCAACCGAACCCCUUUCCGGGGGACAGCCGGUGGAAACGCCGGGUAAUACCCCAUGUCGACGUAGGAGGACAUCCUCUUCGUUGAAAGACUUCAGUCGGAGAGGGACGGGCAUGCGUCCCAUUAGCUGGUUGGCGGGGCAACGGCCCACCAAGGCGAUGAUGGGUAGGGGAUCUGAGAGGACGGUCCCCCACACUGGUACUGAGACACGGACCAGACUCCUACGGGAGGCAGCAGUAAGGAAUAUUGGGCAAUGGGGGGAACCCUGACCCAGCCAAUGCCGCGUGAGGGAAUAAGGCCCUACGGGUCGUAAACCUCUUUUGCCCGGGGACAAGGACGGCGUCGCGAACGCCGUUUGCGGGUACCGGGCGAAUAAGCAUCGGCCUAACUCCGUGCCAGCAGCCGC